ACGGAAGGCAGCAGUGGGGAAUAUUGCACAAUGGGGGAAACCCUGAUGCAGCGACGCCGCGUGAGUGAAGAAGUAUUUCGGUAUGUAAAGCUCUAUCAGCAGGGAAGAUAAUGACGGUACCUGACUAAGAAGCACCGGCUAAAUACGUGCCAGCAGCCGCGGUAAUACGUAUGGUGCAAGCGUUAUCCGGAUUUACUGGGUGUAAAGGGAGCGCAGACGGCAUAGCAAGCCAGAUGUGAAAGGUGGGGGCUCAACCCCCAAACUGCAUUUGGAACUGUUAAGCUAGAGUGUCGGAGAGGUAAGUGGAAUUCCUAGUGUAGCGGUGAAAUGCGUAGAUAUUAGGAGGAACACCAGUGGCGAAGGCGGCUUACUGGACGAUAACUGACGUUGAGGCUCGAAAGCGUGGGGAGCAAACAGGAUUAGAUACCCUGGUA
rnacentral:rRNA from 2 species